AUGCGCGACCAGAUCCUCGCCCGCGGCCGCCUCCUCGAGACCGAGCAGGUCUUCCGCGAGGCCGGGGAGAAGUGGCCCGUCGUCAUCCCCGAGGAGGAGCUCGGCAUGUCAUUCCCCGGUAUCAAGCCUCGUAAAGUUUGA
rnacentral:rRNA from 1 species